GUGCUUGUUUAGGCAGCACACAAACUGAAACUGGAAUGAUACAGAGAAGAUGAACAUGGCCCCUGUGCAAGGAUGGCAUGCAAAUUCAUGAAGCGAUUAAACAAUGU